rnacentral:piRNA from 1 species
UGAAGACUGUAUGGACCUGCUUGCC